UGGAUGGAAUUUCAAGGUUUUUACUAAGGGAAGAAAGAAUGUGAUAAUAAAAUCUGUGGUAACGGUUUUACCAAACCAUGUAAUGUUCUGCUUCCGCAUAUCAAAAAUGGUGAUGAAGAAGCUAACAAGUCUAGUGGCACAAUUUUGGUGGAGACCAGGGGAAAUACCAAAGAUCUGGAUCAGACUUUGGAAGACCUAUGGAAAGUCUUUUCGGAAGUCUUCUCGAAAGUCUUCUAAAAUAUAAUGCGCUAGAAGACUUCCAGACGACUUCCAGGAAGUCUUCUGACGGGUCUUCUUCCAUAUCAAGUGGAGUCUAAGCAUGUCUUUGUAGAGGAAUGAUCUAUAAUAGUUUUGUUUGUGGUAUGAUUUGUGAUUUGCAUGUGUACUCCUUUAGUUGUGAUUUUUUUUUUUUGUAAGUUUGAAAAUAUAUUAAUGAAAAAUUUUGGUACAUAUGUUCAUUUUCCACAAUAUUAUCUUGCUUAAGUUACUUGACAUAAUUGAAUUUAUUGAUACAACUUCAAUAGAAAAACACAAUAACACAAAAAUUAAUCAAAUUUAUUACAAUUAAUGGAGAAGAAUUCUCAAGAAAACUUAGUCAAAUUCACAAAAAAUAAAACAUUACAUAAGUUCAAAGCUAUAACACUUUCAUUAGAUACAUAAGUAAAAAGUAUAUCUUAUAAUCUGAGAAGACACAUUAAACCAUGUUACUUGAUAUUCUUGAAAUUACUUAACACUUUUGAAAAUUAAAUAAACAUAUCUUAAAGUUACUUAACAAAUUUACGAAAACUAACAUAGAAGACUUCUACAAAAGUCUUCACAAUUAGGUAGAAACUUCACUAAACAUGAAUGUUGGUAACCUCAUAAAUAUCACCAAUUAAGUUAUAAAUUUCAUUCAGUAGCCCCAAUAUUGAUUAAUAUACAUGAAUUAACAAAAAAAAAUUAAAAAGUCUUUAUAGUUUUAGAAAAAAAGAAAGUUUAUUAAACAUUGGCGCAGACGACUUCUACGUAGAUCGUCUAGUAGCGUCCAUUUAGGUUAGUUUUGCAAUUGAUUUUUAACCUAGACGACUUACAUGGAAGUCGUCCAUCUUUGUUUGUUAAAAAAAAAACUCGAGACAACUUACAUGUAAGUCGUCUAGGGAAAACGGAUUAGUUAUGCAUUUCACCGGAUUGUGUCAAAAAUUUGACUUUUCCUGGACGACUUACACGUAAGUCGUCCAAUAGAAGAUUAAAAAAACAAUAUUUUUUUAUACCUAGACGACUUACAUGAAAGUUGUCUCAGGUUCGUUUUGCAAUUGAAAAAU